rnacentral:rRNA from 1 species
GGCCUGACGCAGCAACGCCGCGUGUGGGAGGAAGUCCUUCGGGAUGUAAACCACUGUCAGGGGCCGCCAAGCGACCGCCCACAAUAUGGGCGGAAGUUGAGGAGCCCCAGAGGAAGCCACGGCUAACUUCGUGCCAGCAGCCGCGGUAAGACGAAGGUGGCGAGCGUUGUUCGGAAUCACUGGGCUUAAAGCGCACGUAGGCGGCUCGUUAAGUGUCUUGUGAAAUCCCUCGGCUCAACCGAGGAAUUGCUGGGCAUACUGGCGGGCUUGAGGCAGGUAAGGGCGCGAGGAACUCUUGGUGGAGCGGUGAAAUGCGUAGAUAUCAAGAGGAACGCCGGCGGUGAAGACGUCGCGCUAGGCCUGUCCUGACGCUGAGGUGCGAAAGCCAGGGGAGCAAACGGGAUUAGAUACCCCGGUAGUCCUGGCCGUAAACGAUGUCCACUAGAUUGGGGUCUCUUUGACGGGUUCCUAGUCGUAGCGAAAGCGUUAAGUGGACCGCCUGGGUAGUACGGUCGCAAGGCUAAAACUCAAAGGAAUUGACGGGGGCUCACACAAGCGGUGGAGCAUGUUGCUUAAUUCGAUGCAACGCGAAGAACCUUAUCCUGGGCUUGAAAAGCACGGAUGCGGCCUCUGAAAGGAGUGUCCGCUGCCCUUCGGGGUGAAACGUGUACAGGUGCUGCAUGGCUGUCGUCAGCUCGUGUCGUGAGAUGUCGGGUUAAGUCCCAUAACGAGCGAAACCCUUAUCGUUAGUUGCCAGCGGGUCAUGCCGGGGACUCUAGCGAGACUGCCGGUGUCAAACCGGAGGAAGGUGGGGAUGACGUCAAGUCCUCAUGGCCUUUAUGCCCAGGGCUGCAAACGUGCUACAAUGGGCGGUACAAACCGAUGCGAGACCGCGAGGUGGAGCAAACCGGAAAAAGCCGCCCCCAGUUCAGAUUGCAGUCUGCAACUCGACUGCAUGAAGUUGGAAUCGCUAGUAAUCGCAGAUCAGCUACGCUGCGGUGAAUGAGUUCCUGAGCCUUGUACACACCGCCC